CAGCCCUGUAGGAGACACCUCCAGAGAAAGUAACAGCUCUCAAUUGAUUAGCUGAGGAGACCGAUUUUGUAAAUCACUACUUUUCUAACAACACUGGCACAGAUGGCCAAGCAUUCUCCCUUUUCUCAGAGCUGGUUUUCCAUCCCGGAAAGAGCCAGAAUUAGCUUCUGUUACUUACAACUGUGAGUCCUGACUGAAAACAUAUUUCUUCCUUUGAAGAACUGUUACCUGUAACAGGCUAAGAAGAAUAUUAAGAAUAAACAGAUGCUUUUACAGCUCGCCUUGGCGGGAAGAUCUGGCACAAAUGAAGUAUCUAUAAGGAGCAGCAGAGUCAAGGUGGUGAUCCUGUGGAUGAAUAACUGAAACCUGAUAUACUUGACAGCAGAAAAUAUAAAGCAAAUUGAAAAGGAGAGAGUGUGGAGAUAAAUAAGAAAAUGAAAGAACUGAUAAAGUCACUUGGAUUAAAAAA
ensembl:lncRNA novel transcript